AUGAUGUGUGGUUUCAGUACUACUAGGUGUGAGGAGGAGGAGGUUAGCCUUGAUGGUCAGGUGGUACCUCGGAAGGACACCUUUCGGUAUUUGGGGUCAAUGCUGCAGGAGGAUGGGGGUAUUGAUGAAGAUGUGAACCAUCGGAUCAAAGCUGGAUGGAUGAAGUGGCGCCAAGCUUCUGGCAUUCUCUGUGACAAGAGAGUGCCACAAAAGCUAAAAGGCAAGUUCUACAGGACGGCGGUUCGACCCGCAAUGUUGUAUGGCGCUGAGUGUUGGCCGACUAAAAGGAGACAUGUUCAACAGUUAGGUGUGGCGGACAUGCGUAUGUUGAGAUGGAUGUGUGGCCACACGAGGAAGGAUCGAGUCCGGAAUGAUGAUAUACGAGAUAGAGUUGGGGUAGCACCAAUUGAAGAGAAGCUUGAACAACAUCGUCUGAGAUGGUUUGGGCAUAUCCAGCGCAGGCCUCCAGAAGCUCCAGUGCAUAGCGGAUGGCUAAAGCGUGCGGAGAAUGUCAAGAGAGGGCGGGGUAGACCGAAUUUGACAUGG
rnacentral:rRNA from 1 species